GAUGAAGAACGUAGCGAAAUGCGAUAAGUAAUGUGAAUUGCAGAAUUCAGUGAAUCAUCGAAUCUUUGAACGCACAUUGCGCCCCUUGGUAUUCCGAGGGGCAUGCCUGUUCGAGCGUCAUUAUAACCCCUCAAGCUCAGCUUGGUGUUGGGGCCUGCUGCACUGGCAGCCCUUAAAAUCAGUGGCGGCGCCAUCUGGCUCUAAGCGUAGUAAUUCUUCUCGCUAUGGAGUCCUGGUGGAUGCUGGCCAUCAACCCCCAAUUUUUCUAUGGUUGACCUCGGAUCAGGUAGGGAUACCCGCUGAACUUAAGCAUAUCAAUAAGCGGAGGA
rnacentral:misc_RNA from 1 species